rnacentral:piRNA from 1 species
UCCUCGUUUGUUUUUAUAUGUCUCGCUGC